GAUGAACGCUGGCGGCGUGCCUAAUACAUGCAAGUCGAGCGAACAGACGAGGAGCUUGCUGCUCUGACGUUAGCGGCGGGCGGGUGAGUAACACGUGGAUAACCUACCUAUAAGACUGGGAUAACUUCGGGAAACCGGAGCUAAUACCGGAUAAUAUAUUGAACCGCAUGGUUCAAUAGUGAAAGACGGUUGUGCUGUCACUUAUAGAUGGAUCCGGGCCGUAUUGGCUAGUUGGUGAGGUAACGGGUUACCAAGGCGACGAGGCGUAGCCGACCUGAGGGGGUGAUAGGCGACCCUGGAAGUGGGCCACCGUCAAGGGUCCUGCGGGAGGCACCAGUCGCCAACCUUCCGCAGCGGUCGAGAGCCUUGCGGAGUGGCCGCGCGUGAGUGGCGACGAUCCUCCGUUCGUAAUGCUCUGUUUUGAGUUAUAAACCGCUUUGUCCGGAACCGAGCCCGGCGUGACGGUACCUGGUCAGGAAGCCCCGGCUAACUACGUG
rnacentral:rRNA from 1 species